rnacentral:rRNA from 1 species
GUCGAGCGGGUAGAGAGGAGCUUGCUCCUCUUGAGAGCGGCGGACGGGUGAGUAAUGCCUAGGAAUCUGCCUGGCAGUGGGGGAUAACGUUCGGAAACGGACGCUAAUACCGCAUACGUCCUACGGGAGAAAGCAGGGGACCUUCGGGCCUUGCGCUAUCAGAUGAGCCUAGGUCGGAUUAGCUAGUUGGUGAGGUAAUGGCUCACCAAGGCGACGAUCCGUAACUGGUCUGAGAGGAUGAUCAGUCACACUGGAACUGAGACACGGUCCAGACUCCUACGGGAGGCAGCAGUGGGGAAUAUUGGACAAUGGGCGAAAGCCUGAUCCAGCCAUGCCGCGUGUGUGAAGAAGGUCUUCGGAUUGUAAAGCACUUUAAGUUGGGAGGAAGGGCAGUAAAUUAAUACUUUGCUGUUUUGACGUUACCGACAGAAUAAGCACCGGCUAACUCUGUGCCAGCAGCCGCGGUAAU